CGCGCCCGAGAGAGGCGGCAAGAGGGCGGGCAGGUGAGCCCCUCUCCUCGCCGGCGCUGCAAAGGCCCUGCUGGGGAGUCUGCGGGGCGCUGCCCGACUCCGAGGUGAUAAUUCCAGAGGGUAUCAGAGGCAGUGCAAUAAGGAGGAUGGAGCGCUGGCCUUGCAUUUAGGAGUUCAAGCCAUAAAGCUUUGCUUUCACCAACUGCUGUACUACAAGUCUCUGUCCUUUGUAUAUCAUCACUAUUAAUCACUGGCAUUAAAAACAACUUCUGCAGCUGAAUCUUGGUUAGAGGAAAAAAGGAACAAAUUUUUGAUGUAAGAAAAUGAAAAAAAUUGAUCGAUCCAUCCAUCCAUUAAUCCAUCCAUCCAUCCAUCCAUCCAUCCAUCCAUCCAUCCAUCCAUCCAUCCAUCCAUCCAUCCAUCCAUCCAUCCAUCCAUCCAUCCAUCCAUCCAUCCAUCCAUCCAUCAAUUGACUGAAAUAGUGGAAUGGAUUAAUUUUCCAACUCAUUCCUGAAGAGAAGAAGGAGGGGUAGUGAGUUACUGAGACUUUCCAAGGGUUGUUCCUGUAACGGCAAUUGAUUGUUUGAUCAGUAAUGGUUUGUCUUCACAUGUUAAAUCUUUUGUUCUAACCCUUUUGUUCCAACCCUUUGAUGAA